rnacentral:rRNA from 1 species
UACGGGGGGGGCAAGCGUUGUUCGGAAUUACUGGGCGUAAAGGGCUCGUAGGCGGCCAACUAAGUCAGACGUGAAAUCCCUCGGCUUAACCGGGGAACUGCGUCUGAUACUGGAUGGCUUGAGAUUGGGAGAGGGAUGCGGAAUUCCAGGUGUAGCGGUGAAAUGCGUAGAUAUCUGGAGGAACACCGGUGGCGAAGGCGGCAUCCUGGACCAACACUGACACUGAAAAGCGAAAGCCAGGGGAGCAAACGGG